UUUCCGUAGGUGAACCUGCGGAAGGAUCAUUACAGAGUUCAUGCCCUUACGGGUAGAUCUCCCACCCUAUGUUAUUAUUACUUUGUUGCUUUGGCGGGCCGCGAGGCUUCGGCCUGGCUACCGGCUCCGGCUGGUAAGCGCCCGCCAGAGGACCCCCAAACCCUGAAUGUCAGUGUCGUCUGAGUACUAUAUAAUAGUUAAAACUUUCAACAACGGAUCUCUUGGUUCUG
rnacentral:misc_RNA from 1 species